UGUACACAUCGCGCCUCGACCUCAACC
rnacentral:piRNA from 1 species